rnacentral:lncRNA from 1 species
CGAUGAUAUCUAGCAAUAUAUAGUGGUAAUCCAGUAGAACAGAAAAAUGAACUCCUAGGUGCAGUUAUCAUGUGAUACAAUCUCUCUAUCGAGAGUUUCGACUUGACGGAGGUCAUGGAGAACUCGUCAAACCUCAUUAUUAGUCAUAUGCUAGAUUGGCUCGACUACAAUUCAUUUGUGAAUCUCGUGAAAACUCUUUUUCAGUAUUUACACUUACUCUGGCUAAAGAUUUUUCUGAACUCAGUCUUAUGAAUCACAUAGGACUUCUCCUUUUCUAUCAAGAUCGAUA